rnacentral:rRNA from 1 species
UACGGGGGGUGCGAGCGUUGUCCGGAAUCACUGGGCGUAAAGCGCGCGCAGGCGGUCCUUUAAGUCUGAUGUGAAAGCCCACGGCUCAACCGUGGAGGGUCAUUGGAAACUGGGGGACUUGAGUGCAGGAGAGAAGAGUGGAAUUCCACGUGUAGCGGUGAAAUGCGUAGAGAUGUGGAGGAACACCAGUGGCGAAGGCGACUCUUUGGCCUGUAACUGACGCUGAGGCGCGAAAGCGUGGGGAGCAAACAGG